rnacentral:rRNA from 1 species
AGAGGCUCCCCCAUUCCCUCCUUUUACUUUCCUUUCCUUCUCAUCCUAAAGUGAUUGGAUUCCAUGGAAAGACAGUCGUAGCCUAUGCACAUAUAUAAGAAAUAUUAAGUAUAAAUUCAGCUGGGAUCAAACUCCACAGUCUCCUGAGAUAGGAGAUCAAGUAAACUCCAGGGGAGCACAUCUCCCUUAACAAAAAAAAAUCACUAUGACAAGCAUACAUAACACAAAAAUUAGCCACUCGGUUCGUGCUGCGCAAUCGGUGGCCAAAGAUAAUAUGAGGUACAUCAAGAAAAAAGGCUAGGUGAUUAGUAUGUCUCCCUCUGCCUCACCUUGAAACACGAACCAAGGAUCCUGACAUGCUUACGAGCCGACGGGUGUCGAAGCCCGGUGGGCCCGAGGAUGGUGAUGCGCGGGAUCCUUUAGGCAAGUGCACCGUCGACCGACCUUGAACUUUGUAUGAUGGGUUCGAGUGAGAGCAUGUGUGUUGGGACCAGAAAGAUAGUGAACUAUGCCUGAGCAGGUCAAAGCCAGAGGAAACUCUAGUGGAGGCUUGCAGUGAUAUUGGCAUGAAAAUUGUUCAUCUGACUUGGGUAUAGGGGUGAAAGACUUAUGAAACUAUCUAGUAUAUGGUUCCCUCCGAAGUUUCCUCAGGAUGGCUGGAGCCCUAGGCGGAGUUUGAUUGGGUAAAGCCAAUGAUUAGAAGCAUCGAGGGCACAACACGCUGACCUAUUCUCAAAUAUUAAAUAGGUAGGAUGGCCUGACUACUUCAUUGAGUCGGGCCACUCAAUCAAGGGAUCCAAGUGGGUCAUUUUUGGUAGGCAGAACUAAUGAUGCGGGAUGAACCAGAAGCUGGUUUAUGGUGCCGGACUGUGCGCUAACAUAGAACCCACAAUGGGUGUUGGUUGAUUAAGAUAGAAGGAGGGUGGUCAUGGAAGUCGAAAUCCGCUAAGGAGUGUGUAACAACUCACCUGCCGAAUCAACUAGCCCCAAAAAUGGACGGCGCUAAAGCGUGCGACCCACACCCAACCAUCGGGGCAAUUGCCAAGCCCGAAUGAGUAGGAGGGCGCAGCGGCCGCCGCAAAACUUGGGGAGCGAGCCCGUGCGGAGCGGCCACCGGUGCUGAUCUUGGCGGUAGUAGCAAAUAUUUAAAUGAGAGUUUUGAAGGCCAAAGGGGGAAAGGUUCCAUGUAAACAGUGCUUGCACAUGAGUUAGUCGAUCCUAAGAGACGGGGGAGGCCCAUAAAAUAGUGCCGCUUUGCAUGAGCUUUGUAAGGGAGUUGGGUUAAGAAUCCCAAGCUGGAUGUGUUGGCAGACGGCAAUAUUAGGUAGUCCGGAGACACCGGCGAGGGCCUCAGAAAGAGUAAUCUUUUUUGCUUAACAGUCUGCCUGUCCUGGAAGCGGCUCAGCUAGAGGUAGGGCCCAGCGGCUGGAAGAGCGCUACACAUUGAAUGGCAUCCAGUGCGCCCCCGACGACCAUUGAAAAUUCGGAGGGCCGAGUGUUAUCCACGCCCAGUCGUACUCAUAACCGCAUCAGGUCUCCAAGGUGAACAGCCUCUGGUCGCUGGAGCAAUGUAGGCAAGGGAAGUUGGAAAAAUGGAUCUGUAACUUCGAGAAAUGGAUUAGCUUUGAGGGUUGGGCUCAGGGUCCUAGUCUUGAAUCCAUCGGCUAUCUGCGGAUAGCUUGAAGUGUGUUCGUGAUGAGAGCGGAUUGUUGUGUGCUAGCUAUGGGAUGGAUUUGGAAUGGCCCCACAUGGCCUUCCACGGGCAUGAAACAGCUGACUUAAAAUUGGUACGGUCACAGUAAAUCCGACUGUUUAAUUAAAAUAAAAUAUCGCAAUGGUCCUAGUAGAUAUGCUCAUGCAAUAUGAUUUGUGCCUAGUGCUUUGAAUGUCAAAGUGAAGAAGUUCAACCAAGCGUGGGUAAAUGGCAAGAGUAAAUAUGACUCUCUUAAGCUAUCCAAAUGCCUCAUCAUCUAAUUAAAUAUGCGCAGGAAUGGAUUAAUGAGAUUCCCACUGUCCCUGUCUACUAUCCAGUGAAACCACAACUAAGGGAAUAGGCUUGGCAGAAUCAAUACGGUAAAAAGACCCUGUUGAGCUUGAUUCUAGUCCAAUUUUGUGAAAUGACUUGAGAGGUGUAGGAUAAGUGGGAGUCGGCUCGCCAGCGAAAAUGAAAUACCACUACUUUUAACAUUAUUUUACUUAUUUAGUGAGACGGAGGCGGGGUGUGGCCCCUCUAUUUGGCCUUAAAGUCCCACUCCGGUGGGUCGAUCUGGGCGGAAGACAUUGUCAGGUGGGGAGUUUGGCUUGGGCAGAACAUCUGUUAAAAGAUAACGCAGGUGUCCUAUGAUGAGCUCAAUGAGAAUAGAAAUCUCAUGCGGAACAAAAGGGUAAAAGCUUGUUUGAUUCUGAUUUCCAGUGCGAAUACGAACCGUGAAAGCGUGGCCUAUCGAUCCCUUAGUUAUUCGGAGUUUGAAGCUAGAGGUGUCAGAAAAGUUACCACAUGGAUAACUGGCUUGUGGCAGUCAAGCGUUCAUAGCGACGUUGCUUUUUGAUCCUUCAAUGUCAGCUCUUCCUAUCAUUGUAAAGCUGAAUUCACCUGGUGUUGGAUUGUUCACCAACCAAUAGGGAAUGUGAGCUGGGCUUAGACCAUUGUGAGAUAGGUUAGUUUUAUCCUACUGAUGAACGUACUGUGAUAGUAAUUCAACCCAGUACGAGAGGAACCAUUGAUUCACACAAUUGGUCAUCAUGCUUUGUUGAAAAGUUAAUGGCGCAAAGCUACCGUGUGCGGGAUUAUGACUGAACACCUCUAAGUCAUAAUUUAUGCUAAUGUUGUAGCGCCUAAGCUCAUUGAUCACCCUCCAACUGAUAGUAGUGGCAUCGUUCCCAAUGGCACGUGAGCUGGGCUACACCUGCGCUACUCUCCUCAUAAGGAUCGGUGUGGCAGCC